GAUGAACGCUGGCGGCGUGCCUAAUACAUGCAAGUCGAGCGAACGGACGAGAAGCUUGCUUUUCUGAUGUUAGCGGCGGACGGGUGAGUAACACGUGGAUAACCUACCUAUAAGACUGGGAUAACUUCGGGAAACCGGAGCUAAUACCGGAUAAUAUUUUGAACCGCAUGGUUCAAAAGUGAAAGACGGUCUUGCUGUCACUUAUAGAUGGAUCCGCGCUGCAUUAGCUAGUUGGUAAGGUAACGGCUUACCAAGGCAACGAUGCAUAGCCGACCUGAGAGGGUGAUCGGCCACACUGGAACUGAGACACGGUCCAGACUCCUACGGGAGGCAGCAGUAGGGAAUCUUCCGCAAUGGGCGAAAGCCUGACGGAGCAACGCCGCGUGAGUGAUGAAGGUCUUCGGAUCGUAAAACUCUGUUAUUAGGGAAGAACAUAUGUGUAAGUAACUGUGCACAUCUUGACGGUACCUAAUCAGAAAGCCACGGCUAACUACGUGCCAGCAGCCGCGGUAAUACGUAGGUGGCAAGCGUUAUCUGGAAUUAUUGGGCGUAAAGCGCGCGUAGGCGGUUUUUUAAGUCUGAUGUGAAAGCCCACGGCUCAACCGUGGAGGGUCAUUGGAAACUGGAAAACUUGAGUGCAGAAGAGGAAAGUGGAAUUCCAUGUGUAGCGGUGAAAUGCGCAGAGAUAUGGAGGAACACCAGUGGCGAAGGCGACUUUCUGGUCUGUAACUGACGCUGAUGUGCGAAAGCGUGGGGAUCAAACAGGAUUAGAUACCCUGGUAGUCCACGCCGUAAACGAUGAGUGCUAAGUGUUAGGGGGUUUCCGCCCCUUAGUGCUGCAGCUAACGCAUUAAGCACUCCGCCUGGGGAGUACGACCGCAAGGUUGAAACUCAAAGGAAUUGACGGGGACCCGCACAAGCGGUGGAGCAUGUGGUUUAAUUCGAAGCAACGCGAAGAACCUUACCAAAUCUUGACAUCCUUUGACAACUCUAGAGAUAGAGCCUUCCCCUUCGGGGGACAAAGUGACAGGUGGUGCAUGGUUGUCGUCAGCUCGUGUCGUGAGAUGUUGGGUUAAGUCCCGCAACGAGCGCAACCCUUAAGCUUAGUUGCCAUCAUUAAGUUGGGCACUCUAAGUUGACUGCCGGUGACAAACCGGAGGAAGGUGGGGAUGACGUCAAAUCAUCAUGCCCCUUAUGAUUUGGGCUACACACGUGCUACAAUGGACAAUACAAAGGGCAGCGAAACCGCGAGGUCAAGCAAAUCCCAUAAAGUUGUUCUCAGUUCGGAUUGUAGUCUGCAACUCGACUACAUGAAGCUGGAAUCGCUAGUAAUCGUAGAUCAGCAUGCUACGGUGAAUACGUUCCCGGGUCU
rnacentral:rRNA from 1 species